rnacentral:lncRNA from 1 species
UCAGGCUCUUCCAGUUGGGUGGCUGGUUCUUGCAGUCCCGUGAGUCCUCCUGUUGUGGAUCUCAGAACUAUCAUGGAAACAGAAGCAAACAGACAAAAAUAUGGUGCAGCACCAAAGUCGAACUUGGGAAGUAAUUGGUUUACUCUAAUUUAAUUUUUAGAAAAAUUAUUUCUCAUGGAAUCAAACUUUCUCAGAAGCAACGGAAAAUGAUGGCAUUGACUACCAAAGAAAACAAUUCAGGAACAAAUAGCAUGGAGCCCAUUCUGACAGCUCCUUCAAAGUCCCCCAAGCCAGUGAACGCAUGGGCACCUCUACACUCUCCUUCAUCCAGCUCAUUCCGGAAUUUUUUACUAGAAGAAAAAAAACCUGUUCCUGGCCGUGGUUCAGGAGAUCAUGUCAAAAAAGUUUGUUUUAAAGGAACUGAAAACUCUCCAGCCCUAAAUGUUGCAAGAUGUUCACCUCAUGGAACUCCAGGACUAGAAAGCAAUCAUGUCUCUGAUUUUCCACUUGUAGACAGUCCCAAUCCCUGGCUGUCCUCCUCACUGGCGGCAUCUCCCGCAGUUGCUCCAGUCACGUUCGCAUCCAUUGUAGAAGAAGAGCGGCAACAGGAAGCUGCCCUCAUCAGAAGCCGAGAGAAACCCUUGGCUCUCAUUCAGGUUGAGGAACAUGCAAUACAGGACUUGCUGGUUUUCUAUGAGGCAUUUGGCAACCCUGAUGAGUUUGUCAUCGUUGAAAGGACACCACAGGGACCAGUGGCAGUGCCUAUGUGGAACAAGCAUGGGUGCUAGCUCACUGGAGAGGACACUGCUCCUAGUUGUGGUUACCCUGCCUACAUGAAGAAAAUGCAUGUGCAAGCGUUCUUAAGAUUUGUUAGCUCAGUGUUCCCGUCAGAGCAAGAGUGGAUAUGAUUUCUUCCCGUAGUUUAUAAUGUUUGUAUGACUAAUGAGACAUUUAUCAGAAUUGUGAUUUUAGUGACUGUCAUGUGUAAAUGUGUCAGGAAAAAUGUUAGGCUAAGGUUGCUUGGAUUGUUUCUUCUAAAUUACCUAAGGAAAAUAUGGGUGAAAUUAAAGCUUAGGAAUAGUUCACUAAAAAUAAUUUUUCACUUGAGAAUAUGGGUGAUUUAGAAGAGCUUGCCACAUGUGUUUUUAAAGAAGACAUUGAUGAGCUUAAAGCGGAGCCUCAAUCAUUACUGCUGAUUCACUGAUGGCCAGAAUGUUCCGUUUGCCUGAGUAGAUGUCUCUCUUGUUGCUUUUUCACUGGACUGUUCUUAGGCCUCUCUACAGUUGCUGGACAGUCUAUGAUCAUAGCUUCUGUGGGAGAUUUGGAUUCAUAGAUCUUUUUUUUGGUUGGGUGGGAAGGUAGUAAGAGAGGACAGACCUACUUGUGAAAGAUUCAGUGUCUUAAGGUGUUAAGUUUCUCUAAAAUAAAGCAUAAGAUUGCUGAAUAGUUUAUCAGAGUGGU